ACCAACUCUAGCCCUAACAUCUACAAAUAUAAUUAUUUAUACUCAAAUAAAUUAAAACAUUUAAUUUAAUUAAAGUAUUGGAGAAAGAAAUUUAUUUUAGGAGCAAUAGAAUAAGUACCGUAAGGGAAAGAUGAAAGAUUAAUUUAAAGUAUAAAUAAGCAAAGAUUAAACCUUGUACCUUUUGCAUAAUGAAUUAACUAGAAAACUCCUAGCUAAAAGAAUUACAGCUAGAAACCCCGAAACCAAACGAGCUACCUAAGAACAAUUUUCUGAAUCAACCCGUCUAUGUAGCAAAAUAGUGGGAAGAUUUUUAGGUAGAGGUGAAAAGCCUAACGAGCUUGGUGAUAGCUGGUUACCCAAAAAAUGAAUUUAAGUUCAACUUUAAAUUUACUAAAAGAAUAUCAAAUCCAAAAGUAAAUUUAAAUUUUAGCCAAAAGAGGGACAGCUCUUUAGGAAUGGAAAUAACCUUAAAUAGUGAAUAAAUAACUAUAUAAAUUAACCAUUGUAGGCCUAAAAGCAGCCAUCAAUAAAGAAAGCGUUCAAGCUCAACAUAAAUCUUCAACUAAUUUAACUAUAUUGCAUAACUUCCUAAAUUAUAAAUUGGGUUAAUCUAUUAAUUUAUAGAUGAAAUACUGUUAGUAUAAGUAACAAGAAUUAUUAAUUCUCCAAGCAUAAGUGUAUAACAACCCGGAUAUCCAUUGUUAAUUAUCAGAUUAUAGAUCAUACCUACAUUAUAAAUAUAUCUAAAACUAAUCUGUUAGUCCAACACAGGAAUGCUUUAAGGAAAGAUUAAAAAAAGUAAAAGGAACUCGGCAAACAAGAACCUCGCCUGUUUACCAAAAACAUCACCUCUAGCAUAACAAGUAUUAGAGGCAUUGCCUGCCCAGUGACUAAAGUUAAACGGCCGCGGUAUCCUGACCGUGCAAAGGUAGCAUAAUCACUUGUUCCUUAAUUAGGGACUAGCAUGAAUGGCUAAACGAAGGUUCAACUGUCUCUUAUUUUUAAUCAGUGAAAUUGACCUUUCAGUGAAGAGGCUGAAAUCAAAAAAUAAGACGAGAAGACCCUAUGGAGCUUUAAUUAUAUAAUUUAACUGUUACACUUAAUAAACCCAAGGGCUCAAAAAUAACAGAAUAAAUUGAAAAUUUCGGUUGGGGUGACCUCGGAGAAUAAAAAAUCCUCCGAAUGAUAAUAACUUAGACCUACAAGUCAAAGUAACUUAAAUAUCUUAUUGACCCAAAAAUAUUUUGAUCAACGGACCAAGUUACCCUAGGGAUAACAGCGCAAUCCUAUUUAAGAGUUCAUAUCGACAAUUAGGGUUUACGACCUCGAUGUUGGAUCAGGACAUCCCAAUGGUGCAGAAGCUAUUAAUGGUUCGUUUGUUCAACGAUUAAAGUCCUACGUGAUCUGAGUUCAGACCGGAGUAAUCCAGGUCGGUUUCUAUCUAUUAACAAUUUCUCCCAGUACGAAAGGACAAGAGAAAUAGAGCCUCCUUACAAAUAAGCGCUCUUAACUCAAUUUAUGAAUAUAAUCUAAAUAAAGUACAUUUGUCCAAUUACUAACCUAGAUAAGGUU
rnacentral:rRNA from 1 species